UUUGCUGUUGUUUCCUGUGCCGGGAAUAUAGCAGCAGGGAGUCUCAGGUGUUCUCUAACACGCACUCGUGACCACCUGCCGGGCACCCGGGGCUGCCGUGUCAGGCCGGGCAGUACAUCAGCUCAUUCUCAGGUGGAGAGGCAGUCAGCACAAGCUGCUAAACAAGGCGUCUAGAAUCCUGCCCUGCCCAUCCCUUGGGGUCACCAAGACAUCUGGACUUCCUGGGCCCACUGUGGUCUUCUUGUGUCCUUCAUGGUCAGGGAACAAGUCUCCAAGUCCAGCCAAGUGUCUCUGCAUGUUGGAAUCCAUGAGUUUUUACAGGUGACAGGCUCUGCCUCAGACUCCUUUUGGUGGAAGUGGAGGUAUAAACAGAUAGCCCACUUAAUAGGAGACUUCAGCAAGACCCUUGCGUUCUGUUUUUGCCUAGCAGCAUGGAGCUCAGCAUUUCCUCCUGCAGACACCCAUGCACUGUCUUAGAGUUCUUCCUCUCCAUGGCCUGCUCCUGGGAGCUUCCUCCCAUUCCUUCCUAGCAUCUAUUACCAACUGUAAUUUGUAAUUACUUGUAUGUUUACUUGCUUGGUUCUGAAUCCUUUGAGUGUAGCUACAAAAGGAGAAAUGGCACCAUUCAUAGUCCACGUCUUGACCUCCAAAGACUUUGCAGAGAGCCGCCAACCUCGCCAAACCCAGGAUGAAAGUCGUUCAAAGAAACUCUCUGUCCUUUUAAUCAACUCCUCUGCUGCCCUCCCAGGGCCCUGAUGCUACUACUACAAGUACUUAUUUGUUCAAAUGAAUAUUAACAUUGUAAUUUAGUACCUAAUUAUGCUUCUCUAGUCAUAACUGGAACUGUGGUAUUAAAAUCCUUACAUGCUCUUUGGCUAUCAGCAUGUACCUUUGUCAAUAUCCUGGAAUUGCCGGAGAUUUCUUUAAUGUACAAUCUUUGUGCUCACGUCUCUCCCUGUCGCUGAUCCUCCCAUGUCCCUUACAGAUUUACUCUCAGCUGCUGCAGGUUGCACUUAGCACUGUAGUCUUGCUUGAAUAAAAUGGGAGGUUUAGAGUUCAGCUCUUUCUUAAAGAAGCGUGUGCAUACAGGGUUUUUGAAAUGGCUUCAUCUUGUGUCUGAUGAUAGUACCAGCCACACAACAUUACAAUUUUAGGAUUCUAUUUUGGGGAAAAAUUGCCAGCCUUCAAGUAUCUUGCCUCACACAUAAUAAAUGCUCAAUAAAGUUUGCUUAAUGUCUCAUAUCUCUAAGUCAGAGGUCUUCAGUCCUGGAUACACAGAAGAAGAUGAGUAUCUUUAAGUAGACUUCAUACCUGGUCUAUUGUCAGAACAAUGAAAUCCAUAUCUCUAUGGAUGAGGUUUCCAGAUGGUUCCCAAGACAAGAAGGAUUGACAUCACUGCUCCAGACACAACCAACGUGAAUAUGUUUUAAAGAGCCGCUGUUCCCUGAAUGACCCAUUCCAGUGUAUAGCAGCCACUGACCAAUGAUUGAAACUUGGUUUCUCCUUGGAACUUUUCUACAAACUAAGUAGCCAUAUCUAACAGUGUGGUGGUGGAGGAAGGAAUUUAAGUUUUAUAUUGGUAAAAAUACUUCUGAAAAAUUGAUCUAUAAAAAAAAGACUGUCCUAAUAGGAAUUAUUUGUAUCUGAGGUGCUGUUUGCUAUCCUAAUUUCCAAGUGUUUUAUGCAAAUUCUCCCAUAAGGCAAAUCCUGCCUGUUGGGAGGACUGGGUGGAUGUCCACACAGGAUGCUGAUGACUUAAAACCAGCAGUCCUGAUAAUAAGAAACAGGAGUACCAUCUAGGGUUUCUACUUGGGAAACAUCUACUUGCAACUGGGGAAAAAAAAUACAACAACUGGUAUGUCAGUAAGUCACUGUCUGAGAAAAUGUGCAUUUUCCAACAACUCUCUUGUGUUUAGAAAUAGACUUGCUGAACAAGGAAGACCUGUGUGCUGGGGGAUCAUGGAGUAGCUUGGGGGUGGCAUGGGCCUCCUGAAUGCAGAUGCCCUGCCUCACCAAGAGCCUCCACUCACUUCCUUGGGUACCCCGGCCAGCCCUCCACCAUCUGCAUGCAGACUGAUUGUCUUCAUCCAGCUGUUCUAGCACCAGGCCAUAUCAGAAAACCUCGGCUAAGUGGAUUUAGGUUAAAGGCCUUAGCACAGUUUGAUCUGGUUUUGCUCAAGGCCGUAUGACAGAAUCACCUGGCAAACUUCCCCUAACUAUAAUCCAGGGCCCGGAUCUUGGAGAUUCUGAUUCUGCAAGUCUCUCAAGUGAUUCAGGCAACCUGUCUUCUGGAAACCGUGGCUAGGCUAGAGUGCAAUACCAGUGAGCAGAGCCUGCCUGCCUGGGUAUGUGGACAUUCUGUGAAUGCUCACUUGUCAAACUGGGCAGGCUGGGCCAUGGAAUUUCACACAGGUGCCUCAGAGUCCCUGGGUUGGGG